UAGCCCGUGAUAUCCAUGUCGUUCACGAGCUACCGUUUCCCAUUUUCUUUCUUUCUUUCUCUUUUGGCUUUGCGUGCUUUGCUUUGCUUUGCUCCACAUAAUACACAAUCAGAGUCAGACUGCAUUAAUAUUCUCCCUCAUAUCAUAUCAUAUUCUUCAUUUCUUCUGUUACUUAAUAUCACCUUCUACGCCAACUAUCAAAGGAUCAAGGCUUCUUUACUUUGGGCAAGACUCUGCCUUACUAGGUCUGGAUUCUAUGCAUUAAUAGAAGGACAUGGAGUUACAUGCAUUCAUCAAUAGCCACCAUUAAUUUGAUAUCACACGACUCAUAUUACACAAUUACUAAAUUAGUUUGAAAGAAUCUCUAUCAUUAAUUUAGAUCAGACGGUCCAGGUUGACAUUUUCUGCAUGACACAGUUACUACAAGAAAUUUUGAGUCAAAAAUGUUGAAGCAAUCACUUAAUUACCGAAACCAGAGGAUAAAUGUCAACAAGAUAAAACAAGGGUUUCAGUUAUGGAUAAAUAAACCGUAUGCAUUGAUGGGUGAUGGAAAAGAGAGAAAACAUGAAAUAGGCGCCAUGGAAGGAAACAAUCGAGGUAGAGUGGAAGAGGAAGAAGCUGAGGAAGUAGAUGACGUGGUCGAAGAAGAAGAUAAUGAAGAAGAAGAAGAAGAAAAUGAAGCAAUGGUUAUGGAAGAAGAUAUGAGUUAGCUCAUGAGAAGAUCAAUUAGGCCAUAAUGGAGAAGAGAAAGAAAGACACACAAGCAACAAAGGAAAAAUAUUACAAAGAAAAUG